AACGAACGCUGGCGGCAUGCCUAACACAUGCAAGUCGAACGGAACCUUCCGGCCUAGUUGCGGACGUGGGCGUAAGGCGGGGGGACUUACCCGUGAGUUCCGUACAACUCCCCGUAGGGGGUGUUCAUGCCAGUUGAUCUAAUAGGGGCAAAGAUUUGGUGCCUUUGGGUGGGCCCGCGUUGGUUUGGCUUGUUGGGGGGGUAAUAGCCGACCAAGACGACGAUGCAUGGGUAGUGUGAGAGGAUGGGCAGCCACACUGGGACUGAGCCACGGGCCAGACUACUACGGGAGGCAGCAGUGGGGAUUACUGGACAAGGGGCGAAAGCCUGAUCCAGCAAUGCCGGGUGGGUGAUGAAGGUCUUAUGGUUGUACAGUUCUUUUAGCCGCGAAGAUAAUGACAGUACCAGGAGUAUAAGCGCCGGCUAACUCCGUG
rnacentral:rRNA from 1 species